rnacentral:rRNA from 1 species
UACGAAGGGGGCUAGCGUUGCUCGGAAUGACUGGGCGUAAAGGGCGCGUAGGCGGUUUGUACAGUCAGAUGUGAAAUUCCUGGGCUCAACCUGGGGGCUGCAUUUGAUACGUAUGGACUGGAGUGAGGAAGAGGGUCGUGGAAUUCCCAGUGUAGAGGUGAAAUUCGUAGAUAUUCGCAAGAACACCGGUGGCGAAGGCGGCUCACUGGCUCAUUUCUGACGCUCAGGCGCGACAGCGUGGGGAUCAAACAGG